rnacentral:rRNA from 1 species
UACGUAGGGGGCAAGCGUUGUCCGGAAUCAUUGGGCGUAAAGAGCGUGUAGGCGGCCCGAUAAGUCCGCUGUGAAAGUCCAGGGCUCAACCCUGGAAUGCCGGUGGAUACUGUCGGGCUCGAAUCCGGAAGAGGUGAGUGGAAUUCCUGGUGUAGCGGUGAAAUGCGUAGAUAUCGGGAGGAACACCAGUGGCGAAGGCGACUACCUGGCCUGUUUCUUGACGCUGAGGCGCGAAAGCUAGGGGAGCAAACGGG